AAAACACAUCUUGGUAUAGUAAUUUGUGAUCAAAACCUUGUCUUAAUGAAAGCUAAUAUGCCAUUUUUUAAGAAACGGAGAGAGUACUUAAGAUCUUUUUUAAUUACCCGUGAUAAAGUUUACGUUCGUUUCUGCGGAAGGUUUCAUAUAGUUAUUGGCUAGAAUAUUACAUGUGACCCAUUGGCCAUUCAGUUGCGAACUCCAACUGAGUGGUGGUCAUUAUGUCGUCUGUUCACCUUUUCAGAAUUCCAAUUUUACCUAUAAAUGCCUUUGGUAACUCCUAUCUUAUCAACAAUUUCUAACAGCUUUCUUGUCUGAAUUUUUGAUCUUUCCUUGCCGGCAUGAACUGGUUUGCUUUGCUUGGAGUUCUCCUGUACUAAAGAUUCAAGAAAGCAAAACCAAAGGCGCAGACUACACAAAGAUUAUGCACCAACAUUUAAUUACAGAAGGAUCAGGAUCUUAGCUGCCAGUUCAUGGGGAAAACAUGUAUUUAGAUCUCCCUAAUGGGUAUUAUAUCUCUCUCUCUAUUGAAAAUUAGGUAUUUAUCUUAGCAUUGUUACUGAAUCUAUCUCCAUGCUUGAGAGAGUGCACUUGAAAGGGCCAGUUGGCAUCCAACUCUUGGUCAUCUACCCUCUCCCGUUGUUUCAUCUGUUGAAAACCGUAACAAAAACUUGGAGACAUAUGCUUUACCAGGAUUAUGAAGGAACCCAACUUCAUAGAAGUAUUUUAAGUAUUGGAGGUGUAUUAUUUCUCCCGGUCGCUAUGCAUAUCGUUUUGACAUUCCGGUAUGAUUUAUUUUUGGGACAGUUGCUAGGAUUACUUGAUUGUAAAAGCAAUAGUUGGUUCUGACUUUUGAUCUAGAAUUUUAGAACUAACCAUAUCUAGAGUGCUAAUGUUUAGAUUUUGUGCGUGGAACUUUAUUUUUGUAUUUAAUUUGCGGCCAUGCAGAUGACCAUGUAAUUACCAAAUAUAUUGUUUGUGUUUCUGUUUUUUGUCAAUCAUGCAUAAAUGUCAUCAAGCUUCUUGCUGCUCA